rnacentral:rRNA from 1 species
UACGUAGGGGGCAAGCGUUGUCCGGAUUUAUUGGGCGUAAAGAGCGUGUAGGCGGCCUGGAAGGUCAGCUGUGAAAACUCGAGGCUCAACCUCGAGACGUCGGUUGAAACCGUAUGGCUAGAGUCCGGAAGAGGAGAGUGGAAUUCCCGGUGUAGCGGUGAAAUGCGCAGAUAUCGGGAAGAACACCCGUGGCGAAGGCGGCUCUCUGGGACGGUACUGACGCUGAGACGCGAAAGCGGUGGGGAGCGAACAGG